rnacentral:tRNA from 1 species
GGUUAUGGCUCAGUGGUAGAGCACUCCCCUCGCACGUGCAAGGCCCUGGGUUGAUCCUCAGCACCA